rnacentral:rRNA from 1 species
GACGAACGCUGGCGGCGUGCUUAACACAUGCAAGUCGAACGGAAAGGCCCUGCUUUUGUGGGGUGCUCGAGUGGCGAACGGGUGAGUAACACGUGAGUAACCUGCCCUUGACUUUGGGAUAACUUCAGGAAACUGGGGCUAAUACCGGAUAGGAGCUCCUGCUGCAUGGUGGGGGUUGGAAAGUUUCGGCGGUUGGGGAUGGACUCGCGGCUUAUCCGCUUGUUGGUGGGGUCGUGGCUUACCAAGGCUUUGACGGGUAGCCGGCCUGUGAGGGUGACCGGCCACAUUGGGACUGAGAUACGGCCCAGACGCGUACGGGAGGCAGCAGUGGGGAAUAUUGCACAAUGGGCGGAAGCCUGAUGCAGCAACGCCGCGUGCGGGAUGACGGCCUUCGGGUUGUAAACCGCUUUCGCCUGUGACGAAGCGUGAGUGACGGUAAUGGGUAAAGAAGCACCGGCUAACUACGUG